rnacentral:rRNA from 1 species
UACGUAGGGCGCAAGCGUUGUCCGGAAUUAUUGGGCGUAAAGAGCUCGUAGGCGGUUUGUCGCGUCUGCUGUGAAAACCUAAGGCUCAACCUUGGGCUUGCAGUGGGUACGGGCAGACUAGAGUGCGGUAGGGGUGACUGGAAUUCCUGGUGUAGCGGUGGAAUGCGCAGAUAUCAGGAGGAACACCGGUGGCGAAGGCGGGUCUCUGGGCCGUAACUGACGCUGGAGGAGCGAAAAGCAUGGGGAGCGAACAGG